GUUUCCAUAGUAUAGUGGUUAUCACGUCCGCCUCACACGCGGAAGGUCCUGGGUUCGAGCCCCAGUGGAAACA
rfam:Biomphalaria glabrata isolate BB02 unplaced genomic scaffold LGTN_random_Scaffold1830, whole genome shotgun sequence.